rfam:Camelus ferus unplaced genomic scaffold scaffold550, whole genome shotgun sequence.
GAGGGGAUAGCUCAGAGGUAGAACGUGUGCUUAGCAUGCACAAGGUCCUGGGUUCAAUCCCCCGUACCUUUG